CAGGCUGCCCUCUGCACGGUCCUCUCUCUCGUGCUCCCACGUCUUUCCUACGUGCGUUCUUGUGGCUGAAUCGGAAAUGAAGGGUCAGUGGAAGCGUGACCGACACGAGGCCACACGGCGCUUCCAGUCGGGAAGCAUUCCCUUCAGUCUUCCGUCUCUGCCUCACUCACUCUUUAUCCUCCUCCUUCCUCGUCUUCGGCUGCUUGCUAGAUGCCUCCAUGCCCUUGAAUUUUCUUUGGAAAGACUGUCUCGAUCACACCUCUUUAAAGGAGACAAAGAGAAAAGGCCUCAAAACCCUCACUGGUUGGCGUCACCCGGGCCUUGUUAGAACUUGGAUCUGGGACCAGAGCCGACCCAGCUGAUCAUCCGAUGGCUCCUGAUGGUGACACAUAAGCGGGUCUAGACUCCUCCUCAGACCCGUGCUGCCCUCCUGGGGAGAUCAGACGCCCUGCGUCUCUGGCAGGAGACCCUCAACAUCGCUGGGCUGCCCUGGGCGGAAGUGGAAGGACCACAAGAACCCAACUGGCCAUCUCGUGUCUUUGCUACUCCAGGGCUAGCAGCAGUUACAGCGGAUCACCUAAGGUCACCUCCCCUCCCCACCCCCGGCUCUCAGAGUUCCCACCAUUCAGGGCAAGCUCUGCAGCAGACUGGCUUGUUUAAAACGUGGCACAAACUGGGGGUGAGUAAAAAGGCUCUGAGCAGCCAAAACACAUGGAGGAGGGUUCCCCCACCAAAGCCUGUCGCCCACCCACACUCAGGGGCAAGCCUCCAGCCUCCCACUCCCAGCCCACGUGCUCUACUCAACACCCAACCCCAACAAGCUCAGACGCUAGGUUUCUAAACUAACAGCAGAUCAGAAGGAACAAACUAGAAACGGUUAGAGGAGGGACACCUGGCAGCAGAAAGGUUCUAAAAGGAAGGGUGGUAAACGGGAAGUUGGCACAGAAAUCCCAGCCAGCACGUGGGAAGACAAACGGUCUGGCACACCUCCAGGUCUUCAGGGCUUAUUGUGGACCAUACCAUGCGUUCAUCCAGUCUCCCAACAGCCCCUGCUCCAGGCCAGGCUCUUUGUUAGCAUAUUAGUUAGCUAUUGUUUUUGGCUGCCAGUUAUAGGGCCUCAAAUAAGAGUGGUUUCAACAAGCUGUAGGGGAUAUUUUUCUCUCACAUAACAGGAAACCCAGAGGUGGGGAGUCCAGGAUAGGUAUGGUGGCUUCUAGAUUUCAUUAGUAACCUUCUAUCUUUCUGCUUCACCAUCCUUAGCAUGUUGCGUCCAGUCUCAAAGUCACCUCAUGAUCACAGGAUGGCUGCUGCAGUUCCAGUCAUCACA
rnacentral:lncRNA from 1 species